AAAUUUCUUUAAUUAAUAUACACAUAAUUUUAACCGGACUUCACAAAAUCUUAAAAGCAUCUUCGAGUCUAAUUUUUUAAAAAAUUCCCCCCCAAACAAUUUCCUUUAUGAAACUGAAAUUACUUACACGGAAAUAUAUCACACUUCAAGCCAAUUACGAGAUUAAAUGGACAAGCGAAUGAAGGAAGAUGGAUAGAUAGCGGAAAUAACGGAGACGAUGUAAAUUCAAGUUUUUGAUCUCGAAUUCUGGCCGGUUUUUUGUUCGACGCAUCGAGCUGUGGCCGUAAACUUCAAACGUGGCCAGAGACACGGUUAACAAGGCAAACAGCCUAGCUGAAAGCCUUUCGAUUCGCGUAUAAAAAAAAAAAAGAA